CACCUCCUGGGUUCAAGUGAUUCUCCUGUCUCAGCCUCCCCAGUAGCUCGGAUUACAGGCGUGCGCCACGCUGCCUGGCUAAGUUUUGUAUUUUUAGUAAAGACGGGGUUUCGCCAUGUUGGCCAGGAUGGUCUCGAACUCCUGACCUCAAGUGAUCCAGCCACCUCAGGCUCCCAAAGUCCUGGGAUUACAGGUGUGAGCCACCGUGCCCAGCCUUAUAAUGGAGUUCUUAAUGGUGGCUACGCUUCUCUCAGGCAGUUGUAUGAACUGAUGUAGGUGUGAACGUUUUUAAAAGCUAAAAGCACUUUAGAAAAUGCAAAUUAAAGGCCUGGCAUGGUAGCUCAGGCCAGUAAUCCCAGCACUUUGGGAGGCUGAGGCGAGCGGAUCAUGAGGUCAAGAGAUGGAGACCAUCCUGGCAAACAUGGUGAAACCCCAUCUCUGCUAAAAAUAUAAAAAUUGGGUGGGAUGGCAUGCGCCUAUAGUCCCAGCUACUUGGGAGGCUGAGACAGGAGAAUCACUUGAACCCUGGAAGGGGAGGUUGCAGUGAGCCCAGAUUGCACCACUGCACUCCAUGCACUCCAGCCUGGUAACAGAGUGAGAUUCCAUCUCAAAAAAAAAAAAAAAAAAAAAAAAAGAAGAAGAACAUGCGAAUUAAAAAGUGUUCAUGAUAAAUGUAAGUACGCUGAACUUUUAGAAGGUGUAUCUUAAUCAAUGGACUACUGUUUUUAAAACAGGAGUCACAUUUGGCUGGUAUUUUCACCUCAAGUACAAAAUCCAGGCUGGGGGCCAUCCCUCACGCAGUGAAGGUGAGGGGCUCUUCUACCUGACCGGGAGGCGCUCGUUGUUCACGCUGCGGUGGGCAGCGCUGGCUUUCAGGAUCACUAUCCAGCAGCAGCUCCGACUUCCAGAUUCCGCGGCUGAGCGGCGAGUCCCCGCGAAGGGUGCACAGGAAGGUGCCACCGGCCCAGGACGCUCUGUCACCGGAGUGCAGGAGGGAAGGGAAAGGCGGAGGGCCAGUGGGGAGGGGUGGGUGGUGUGGCCGGUGGCUCUGCCUUACUCUUCUCUUCCUGGAAGGGAACCUGUGGGGCGGAGAGAGUCCCCAACCCCGGCCCUGAGGCCGCUCUGGGGGUCCUGCAGGCAGCGAGGUGGCCUCUCUUUACCCAGGGACGCGCGCGGGGAUCAUCGUCUCCCGGGGGCGAGCAUAUAAGACGGACCCUGCCCCAGACCCCUUGCCUUCCUCCACAGGGGGAUGGGAGCUAGGGCUGGGGGCGCUGAGAGGAGGGGGUCUGCACGCUGGCUUGGUGGUCCCCUCUGGCGGGGACAGUGAAGGCUUGGGGGCCUUCGAGACAGGUGCCCACGUUGCCCAAACCACGUGUUGGUGCCACGUGGCAGUGAAGGUUUUAAAAUGGGGGUUGGGGUUGUGAGGCUGGGCCGGCGGGGUGAGAUGGGGCUUGGGCAUCUGCACUUGCCCGGGCGUGCGGGGGCUCCUAAGGAGGAGGCUGAACCGGUUGUUGGGGUGGCCUAGGGGGAGGAAGGCGCCCAGGCCCAGGAACAGCCUGGGAGGCCCCAGGGGCAGGGGCAGGUGGGCUGGAAGGAAGUCGUCCGUUGUGGUGGAGACAGGAAAGGGCUGGAAAGGUGAGGACCCGUUCCCGCCCCGUCCCUUCUUCUCCGCGGCCUGCAGACCCUGGGCCAGGUGGGAAUCAGCCUGCUCGCGGCGCUCGGAAGGCGGGCUCCUCCGUGAGAAGCCGGCCCCUGAGGUGCCAGGAGGACCGCGCCGCCUGCUUGGCAUCCAUCCAUUUGUUCUAAUGAGAGAAGGAAUGAACGGGUUGACUCUGCAGGGCUGCGCCAAGGCCUGCGUCUGCGGGGCAGCGGUGCGGUGUGGGGUCUGUGCGCUGAGCCCCGCCAGGGUUUCUUCUAGAUGAAGCCCGCAGGCCUUCUCUCCUGCGCACGUGUCCCACGGCAACCGGGAGUGCGAGGUCCUCACGGCUCAGCCCUGUCCCUCCGUUCCUGGAGAGCGCAUCGCCCCAUGGGCAGAGCGGGCAGACAGAGGGUAGAAGUAGGCUUGCCCCUGGGGUGGGUCAGGGAGGUCUCUCUGAAGAGCUGAGCUGUCUGUCAAGCAAGCCUAGAAUGAUGAGGACCAGCAGCAGAGAGCAGCCUUGGAAACACCCCCGCCUCACCCCGGGCCGGGGAGCGGCUGGAGCAAAGAUCCUGGGGCGCAGAUAAGUGUGGGCUGCCCAUGUGGAGCCCCCUGAGCAGAGGGAAGCAGCGGCGGGCGGGGGGCGGGUGCCAGGGCUCGGAUCCGGGAAGAGGGCCUUCUGGGCGAUGGCGAGUGGUUUGGCUUUAUCCCAAGCCUGAGAGGAAGCCGCCGCGCGGGGCUAGGCAGAGGGAGAACUCCUGUACUGUACUCUCUUGUUUUUCCCCUCUGGAAACUAGGUGGGGUGGGGAGGACAGCCAUGUGGUUCGUCCUCCAGGCAGGAGCGGGCCUGGUGGGUGAGGGCAGACGUGGUGAGUGAGGAGGGCAAGCCUCGUGGUUGCUGCGGCUCAGUGAGGCCUCCUGGAGGGUGAGGCUCCUGUGAACUGGGCACACACAGGCGGCCACCACGGUGCCUCAGCUGGGCUGUCACCUCUCACCCUGGGCCUCUCCACCUGCCCCAAGCCAGGCGCUGUGUGGGACGGUGGGCCACAAGCCCUGCCUAUGGUCAGCCCAUGGGGGAAAAUCAUGCACUUUUAGGACCAUCAGCUAGGCCAGAGAGGAAGCCAGAAAAGAAGGCACAGACUCCAGCCACUGCGGCCCACUCCCUGGCGUCGCCGUCACCGAGCUGCUGCCUCUCUGCUUCGUAUUUUCAGUGACUCCUCGCCAUAACCUUGUGUUACACAUAAAGCGACUAAAGUUAAAGGACUAACAGAAUUUUCUAGAGACCCAGCUAACAAAUGACAAAGCAGGGUUGGCCAAGCAGGGGUUGGAAUCCACAGAAGAAUCACAUGCCUGUUCCCAACACCCCUUGAGGCGUGGAGCCCCAGAGGCAGGCCUGCUGCACAGCCAGGCAUCUCCCACAAGCACCAGGGGGUCUGUUCCACAUAUGCACAUGUACCCAAAUGUGCACACACAUGUGCACACACACGCCCGCUCACCCCGACCCUCCUGUACGCACCCAUUCACGUGCACACCCACAGUUCCCCUACGUCUGUCUGAUCCUGCGUCACAAGGCUGUGUUUUCUGAGCACACCUCUGCACUCCCAGCUACCACCUCAGCCACAGAUGUUUGCCAGGAAGCUGGACGUGCUCUUCCCUGCAGUCUUCUUUCUCUGCUCCUCGUUGCUUGGCUUGGCUGCCACAGGGAGAGAGGAUUUGCAGUGCAGAGGUAAAGAGGUUUUUCCUAAUUUGCUCCAUGUCCAAACCAUUGUCUGCAGAUGCAGCCUCACGGCCACCACAUUUUUCACAGACGGUGGCUUGCCAAGAAAAAGAGCCUCCUCUGCCAGCCACCAAGGGGGAGGAGAAAUUCCAGGGAAGCUGCACGGCCCAGUGGGCCUGGCUUCCGCAGGCCUCCUGUGAGGGCUCCUGCCAGGGCAGCUUUAGGAAGGCAGGGACUGGGAGGCAGGGCUGGCCUCCUGCCCAGGAUGGGCACAGCCCCCUCUUCAUGCUCCUGGGUUCUCCCGG
rnacentral:lncRNA from 10 species